rnacentral:rRNA from 1 species
GCCCAGUGAACUAUAUUUCAACGGCCGCGGUAUCUUAACCGUGCAAAGGUAGCAUAAUAACUUGCCCAUUAAUUGUGGGCUAGAAUGAAAGGACUAACGAAAUAAAAACUGUCUCUAUAAGCUAAGUAAAAGUUAAUCUCUAACUGAAGAUUGUUAGAUUAUAUUGAAGGACAAGAAGACCCUAUAGAGCUUUAUUUUUAUAUAUACCUAAAAUUUACAUAAAAUUCGGUUGGGGCGACCAGGGAAGUUAGUUAUCAUCCCUAAAAAAAAGAUAAGUGAAUCACAUAAAUGACCCUCAAUAAAGAUCAAUAAAACAAGCUACCUUAGGGAUAACAGGCUAAUCACAUUAAAGAGUCCUUAUCAAUAAUGUGGAUUGGCACCUCGAUGUUGGCUUAGGGAAUCUAUAUGACGCAAAAGUCAUAUAAAGAUGGUUUGUUCAACCAGUAACACCCUACAUGAGCUGAGUUCAGACCGGCGUAAGCCAGGUUAGUUUCUAUCCUCAAUAAGCUAAUCUAUUUAUAGUACGAAAGGACCUAAAUAAGAAUAAUAAUUAUAAUUUAAGAACACUUAUAACACCUAUUAAACAUUAAUGUAUAUAGACUAUAUGUUAAGUUGGCA